GCUUUUAAAGGAUAAGAAGUAAUCCACCGGCCUUAGGUGCCGUCAAUCUUGGUGCAAGUCCAAGUAGAAGCU
rnacentral:tRNA from 1 species